rnacentral:lncRNA from 13 species
CCUCAGCCAGUCAGCUGGGUUCAAGUUCAGUUCCUUGGACAUGGGCCAUUCUGGGCUACCAGGGGAAUUGUACUAAAGAUGGCAGUGUGGCUGGUCCACAUGCUCUCUGCUUUGGAUGAGGAAGAACAGAUGAAAAUAUCCAAAGGACAGCAGAUAGUUGCUGAAUUCCUCCUGCUGGUUUCUUUUCACAUGUGAUCCUGCAGGCAGCUAACCAGGGCUAAGGAAUGUGCUCUGGUCAGGGCACAUGGAAUAUUCUGGAACUGACAAGUAGUAAUGCCUCCCAUCUGGAGAACAUCUAACCUCUAUAGAGCCCUACUGUUUUCAAAGCAUUCUUCCAUGCAUUGUCACAGUUGAGUUUUGCCACAACUCUGGCAGAUGGUGAGGGCAAAGUUGUUAUCUCCAUUCAAAGCUGUGGGAAAGUUGUGACUUAGAGAAUUGAGAAUUUGCCCAUGGCCACAUAGCUAGUAACAGUCUUAAUGGGCUUGAACACAGAUGCACAGAUUGUAAUUUUCUUUCUGUUAUUCUAAGAAUGGAAAAAAAUUUGCUCUUGUGGGCCAACUUUGACUGGUUGUCAGUAUUUUCCUGGAGUGGUAUGGGGAUACCUCUGCAGAUUCAUUGCAUGGGAAUAUUGGUGAUGCUGAGGUGUGGAGUAUGAGGUGAGUCACCCAGGUAGUGAGCAUAGUACCCGAUAGUAAUUUUUUAACUGACCGCCCUCCCUCCACCCUUCAGAAGUCCAAGUGUCUAUUGUUCCCGUAUUUAUGUCCAUGUGUGCUCAAUGUUUAGCUCCCACUUGUAAGUGAGAACAUGCAGUAUUUGGUUCUUUCCUGCAUUUAUUUGCUUAGGAUUAUGGCCUCUAGUUACAUCCAUGUUGCGUCAAAAG